rnacentral:rRNA from 1 species
UACAGAGGUGGCAAGCGUUGUUCGGAAUUACUGGGCGUAAAGGGCGCGUAGGCGGUUCGGUAAGUCCUGUGUGAAAUCCCUCGGCUCAACUGAGGAACUGCACGGGAGACUGCCGGGCUUGAGUUCGGGAGAGGGAAGCGGAAUUCCGGGUGUAGCGGUGAAAUGCGUAGAUAUCCGGAGGAACACCGGUGGCGAAGGCGGCUUCCUGGACCGACACUGACGCUGAGGCGCGAAAGCUAGGGGAGCGAACGGG